CCGGCACGGGUGAGUAACACGUAUGCAAUCCACCUGUAACAGGGGGAUAACCCGGAGAAAUCCGGACUAAUACCCCAUAAUAUGGGCGCUCCGCAUGGGGAGUCCAUUAAAGAGAGCAAUCUUGGUUACAGACGAGCAUGCGCUCCAUUAGCCAGUUGGCGGGGUAACGGCCCACCAAGGCGACGAUGGAUAGGGGUUCUGAGAGGAAGGUCCCCCACAUUGGUACUGAGACACGGACCAA
rnacentral:rRNA from 1 species